rnacentral:rRNA from 1 species
GACGAACGCUGGCGGCGUGCUUAACACAUGCAAGUCAGACGGAAAGGCCCUGCUUUUGUGGGGUGCUCGAGUGGCGAACGGGUGAGUAACACGUGAGUAACCUGCCCUUGACUUUGGGAUAACUUCAGGAAACUGGGGCUAAUACCGGAUAGGAGCUCCUGCUGCAUGGUGGGGGUUGGAAAGUUUCGGCGGUUGGGGAUGGACUCGCGGCUUAUCAGCUUGUUGGUGGGUAGUGGCUUACCAAGGCUUUGACGGGUAGCCGGCCUGAGAGGGUGACCGGCCACAUUGGGACUGAGAUACGGCCCAGACUCCUACGGGAGGCAGCAGUGGGGAAUAUUGCACAAUGGGCGGAAGCCUGAUGCAGCAACGCCGCGUGCGGGAUGACGGCCUUCGGGUUGUAAACCGCUUUCGCCUGUGACGAAGCGUGAGUGACGGUAAUGGGUAAAGAAACACCGGCUAACUACGU